CCCAAAUGGAUGUCCCGCUACCCGUUCCUGACCAGUGCCGGCGAUCACCACGACGUUGGUUCGGCGGCCGCCGCUCCUGGCUCUGGGAUGGCAGGGUGGGUGGCAUGGCCUCUGACGCGCCGUCGGGCGUCACUGCAGGCCGCUAGGAAAAGUGCGUCCUGCAGAGUCGCGGGGCAGCACCAGGCGCUCCUUGGAUCUAUGCAAUUCAGGCUCUCUCUCCUCACCUGAAUUUGUUUGCAUUGGAUCUGUGCAAGUUUCGUGCUGAAUGGCUAUGCUUUUUCAAAAUUCAGGUGUUAGAUUCAUAAAAACACCUGAAUUUUUUAAUACUACUAGCAGAUGCAAAUUUCAUAUCAAUUACAGUUAGUUUGUAUUGGAGUUACAGUUAGUUUUUAUAGAAGUUACAUUCAUCUUUUUUAUCUAAUUUUCAUGUAACAUUGGUUAAACUUAAAAUUCGGGUGAGAUCCACCUGAAUCUCACCUGAUUUUUUGUAAGUACUAUCAUCACAUGCAUGUUUAAUCCACAGAUAUUAGAUCUAAUGGUUAGAAAAUUCGAGUGAGAAUUACCUCUAAAACACCCAGGUGAACUGGAGAUACUCUGCAACCGUUAGGCAAAAUUCCCCUAAGGGUCGAGUUCGGACAUUUGGUUUUCGUUUUUGACUUUGGUUUCUUUACAGUGGGUAACCUUUGAUGACUUUGGAGUUAAAACCUGGCAAAGUCCUUACUUACUCUGCUCUUAGGCUCGUUUCAUUUCCAAGUUUACCUUUACCAUACCUUCCAAGCAAGAGUGUUUUUUGCAAGCUUUUUAUAGCCGCUUCCUGUGAUCUUGAUCUCCUCGCGUCGGCUUCUUGCUCCAUACAAUACAGAUCGUCAACAACUCUUUGUAAGGGCCUUAUCAGUUCCCAUAUAAGAAGCUCGCUCUUUACCCGAUCAUUCAAACAUUUUGUGGGCGUUACCAUUGACUAUCCGGCACUUUCGUCUGUAGAGCGAAGCAAGAAAUUGCAUGGAAGGGGGGAAUUCCUCCCAAGGUCAGAUACUUUUAUCUACUUUUUUAUAUUUUCCUUUUCAGCACCUAUCACUAGAAACUCUUUCAUUCCUCACUAGCAGUUCUUUGGAACUAGUUCCGUAGUACCUGUAAGAGCAGAACACUGUCGGGUGGAAUUCAUCCCACCAGACAUGGCUCGAUGCGUCGCAGCACGCAAGGACCUUAUUUGAUCGCUUAGAACUUGAUGGAGGGAAACUCACUCGCUCAAGAUAUGCUUAAGCUAGCUCAGGAAGAGUACUAAUUUUAUAUGCCUUAAAGAGGGGAUUCAAAGAGUAGCCUUCCUUCGCUUUUGGGUCGCAGCCUAAGCCAAUGGCUAGCUAGUGAAGUGAAUCCUUCAUUCUUCGAAACUCGAAAUUCGUUUUUUCAAAAGAAACAGGGCUAUAGCCUUUAGAAGGCCAAUUGACAUUGACUUUUGAUAGUUCCAGUUGCUUACGAAGAUCCAAGUCCAGCUGGGGGGUUGGUUUACAUACAACCGGGGCAAAGUGUUUAUCUUGUUGGAUACCCAAUGCAUUUCAUAGGAGGGUAAUUAUACGUGGGUGCCGGCACCCUUUUAUAAGUGGGUGCCGGAUCCCUUCCUUGGUUCGUUAGAACCAUAUAAGCCCAUACCCAGAACUCCGAUUAAGAAAAAAAUGGACCCGCCUGGGGUUUGGAAGAUGGGCUUGCAGCGGAUUCAACCGAUCUCAAGGUCUACAUUUCCAAUGAAAAACCAACUAAAGAGUUCUCCAAAAGAAAACUCUGUUGUUCCGCGUCUUGGACUAACCAUCCCUUAUAGGGUAUUGUUAAAAGAUCCUCGAUUCCUAUUUUGAUCCACAAAAGAAUGAAUUGUCUUUCAGGUGAAUUGUACACAUGUCUGAAUUUAUUCAGGUCAAAGCAGUGGGUACAUGUAAUAAUCUAUGAACUGCACCACAAUUUAUUAAUUGGUUGGCUAAGAAUGCUUAUUGUUUAUUUUGAUUUCUGUUUCCUUUCUGCUGAUUUUGCCAUUCAAUUAAGUUCUUUCCUAUGUUGUAUACUUGUAUGUAUCAUCUGCAACUCGCCACAACUAGGAGGGAUUUUUGGAUUCCAGGGCACGGAUCACCUCCAAAUUUGGCAGGUGUUACAGGAAUAGAACACCCACUCUUACCCACGCAAGCCUGAAACGGUGAAUGAAAUGGUUACAUACAAACUAACAAGGCAGAGCAUUAUGACAUAUUGGAGUUAACGUAGUUAGCUUAGUGAUUAGGCUUUUUACCUGCUUUAUAACAGAUUCUGAUGAUCCAGCAUGACAGUUUCCAACACCAAAACUAGAACAGUCCCCCAUGGGAUUUCCGUAGCUUGCAAACUCAAUUGACGAGAUGUGUUUGCCUUCCUGACACCAUAGAUCUACUGCCGGUUCCUUUUCCUCCGACUGGAGAGACGGAGCAGAGAGCUCAUCCACAUUGCUGCACACUCUUGUGACGGACACUGUGUUCACCGUUAUUUGUUGCGGGUUGCCUCCCAUUUCCUCAAAAAGGACUAGGAUGUUGUCUUGAGGUUUUAGAAAUUGCCGUGGUAUGUGAUACCUUAGGAAUAUGAAAUGUUGCUUUGAGGCUAUAGGGAAGAGAAGGACAUAGUGGCGAGAGAGUGAGAGUUGACGAGAAAUCUACUUACAGUGAUUGAGAAGGAUUGCCACUAGGAGCCUUGAAGGAGACCCAAUACCGUCCGAUGCUCUCUCCGUUGAUCCAUACCUCACCUUUCCCCAUACCAUUAAGGUUCAGUGUCACUGGGUCAUUUCCAGCUGGUGUGGGAAAUGUUGUCUGGGCACAGAAUAAAUGAUACCAAGUAUAGUUUACUUCUGUAAAGAGUGGACAUAUAGCUGAAAAUUAUGAACCAAUUGUUCUGAUCUUUCUGUACCUUGUACCAUGUAAGAGGAUGAUAUGUCAAAUUGUUGAUAGCUGUCCAUUCAACACUGCAUGAUCCCUCUUGUGUGUAGAUGUGAUUCCUUUCGCCAAAUAAGCCAACCUGCAUUUAAUCAGAUACUCAAAGCCUCAAAGUCAAGCAUCUAACAUUCGCGCCUCUAUUUUCACUCUAUUAUUGACUUGACUUGGACUUACUUGGUAUCCCCAUAGCUCAUCAUUGAGCAGAUGUUCUGGCUGUUGUCCCUGUUGUAUUCUCACUUUCCGGAUUCCAAAGAUUCGUCGUUCCAUAUGAGCACCAGAGUCCUUUAAAUUAGUAGAUGAAAGUUCAGUUUGGUGCAUGGCUAGGAAUUCGAAGGCAUCUAGUAUUAGAGGUUACAGUCCUCGUGCUCAACAGUAUAUGUUAUGUAAGAUUUAUCUGGAAUUUAAGUCUUAUCACAAGUUCGAUGAACCAUCUUUGACUCAUUUGUUGAUGUUACUCCAAUACAACCCUAGUACAAUCAUAUGCCUAACACAUUGCGCAUAUGCUUAUAGUUUUGUGUAAUUGGUAAUUCUUUAUAGUUCAGUACACAGUAGGAGUUGUAUGAUUUAUACCGGUGAUCCGACCAUAACACUUAGCAAUGAUAUGGUGUUUGAUCCUUCCUUUAGAGAAAUGUGUGUGUUCAGGAUUAUAGUGCCACGUUCAUGACUCCCAUGCACAGCCCCUAACCAUAUUAUGAAGGAGUAUCAAUACAACAUUAGAUAAGAGUGAAAUAUGAUAACAAAAGGUAAACACAUCAAUUGUAAACUCAACAGAGAAAAUAGUGUAAUUUGGAACAUACGUAUGACUUCAUAAAAGUAUCCUUGAAGAAUUUGGGGGAAAACGGUUAUUUAAUAGGAUACUUACCUACAUAUUCAUUGUUGACAAAAGCAUGCAAUAUAUGAGCUCGUGACUCAACAUUAAGUAGGACAAGCUGGCCAUCAUCACUUGGUGUGUAUUCAUAGCUGCAUUUCAGCGAAUUUCCCUUGUCAUACAUUUAAGACAGUGAUUGAACUAUUGAAGACAGGUAAACGAAGCAGAAAGAUCAAAUGAUGGAGAAAAAGACCUUGGGAAAAAUCUCUCUUACCUAACAAUGUGCCAGAGAUAGUCUGUUUCAUCUUUAGUGGUCGAUAGAUGUUCGAAGAGCUGGUUUCCAGUGUACAUAGACUUAUUCACAUCUUGAGGAAUUGGUUCUUUGAAUGCCUUCCAAGUAUUAAUGUCAUUGAAAGACUGCACUUCUUCAGCUGUUCUUGAACCAUGCUGAGCAUUUACCUGUGACAAAAAGUAAUAACUAACAAGUCAUGAGAACAAUGGAUGACAUUUACCUGUAUCGUAUGGUUAGAAGAAAAAAAAGGAUCUGUCACAACAGAAUGCAGGUCACUCACCUUGGCUGUUUCGAAAACUACUCUCUUGCAAUCUGAGAGAAUGCUGAUUGAUUUAGGGGCCAGUUGCAAAGAUGUAUUACGAAACACUAUUUUCGAUAUUUGAUGCCGAUCAAAGUUGACUAGGAAAGCCACACAUUGCGAUUCUGUUUCAAAAACAUGUGCCUGGAGUACAUCAUACAUUAUGUCCUUAUAUUGUUGGAAUCUAUUGAAAUAAAGCAUCCAGUUUUUCUUUGUGUAAUUUUACCUCUUGUUCUUGACCUAAUGAAAAAUUGGAGUAGGUUCCAAAUAGUAAUGGUUCUGAUGACUGCUUUACUGCAGCAUGCAAUUCUCUGAGAUGACCCCAUGUUGGUUGCCAUAUCAAACCUGGAUAAACGAUACAAUUAAAUUUAUUGACAUACUGUUGAAUGAUAGAAUUGUGUAAAUACAUUUAGCACGCUUCCAUUUUGUGAAGAAAUUUACCAUAUUCAUCAAGUGGAGCUCCAUCAUAGUAGUUUGUUGUUACAUAUGAAGAAGCAAACCUCCCGAAGUUUGUUCCUCCAUGGUACUGUAUCAUAAUCAACGGAAAAUGAGAAAAAUACUGAGUGGUUAUGCUGUGAAAUGUUCAAUUCUUUUCUCGGGAAGUACAUACCAUAUAGUAGCUCACAUAGCUUCCAUUCUUCCUUGCUAUAAAAAGUGCAACUGCAAAGGCCAUAUCUUCUGGAGAUCUCAAUGUUGUAUCAUUACCAUAUAUAAGAUAGCUGGAUGCAUGAACAAUCUACCAUUAGGCACUUCUUAUUCCAUCAUGAUUAGGGAAUGUAAAACUAAAAAGCCGAAGUAUCAUGGUACAGAUACCGAGAGGUCCAAUUUUCUGUCCACAAUGCAGGCUUGUUAGCUGAGUUUGGUCCAACAAAUGUUUCUCCACAUAUAAGCCCGUUGCAGGUAUUUAUCUAUCCAUGAACUUGUUGUUAGACUGGUUUUAAUUUUCAGUUAGCCGUUGUGGAAAUCAAAUGAAACAGUAUUAGAAUGAAUACUGACAACUGGAUCCGGAGCAUCAUUUUGCUUGCACAUCGUCCAUGGAACACCUGUCUGAAGAUUUACAGCCAUGGCAGCUGCCCAACGGACAUACCGUUGUCCACUUAUUCCAAAUGCAGGCUCAACCAUCUGGCUUACUUACCUUAAAGGGUUUGUUGUCGCUUCGGAAGGUAAUGUUUGGAACAUCAUGUAGCCAAAAUGGGAAGCCUCUGCAUGAACAAAAGACUUUCAGCAUUUGAUGAGGCAUUCAUAUCAAACUGGAAAGAGCAUCUACCUGGCCCUGGACAGGCUCAUGAACAUUCCAAAAUACAUAGGUCUGUAUCACAUCAAGGCCACCCUCCUUCGCUUUAGCAAUGAGUUUGGGCCACAUCUGCAAAUUUU